UGCCCCUCUCUCAAUUCCUCUCCAACAUCAAAAUUUCUCCCCCAAAAUUGAGGAUCGGCGGAAACCUUGCUCCAUCGCCACCGCAGUUUACCGUCAUCAUCGCCGGUCACCACUGUGCCAGACUCGCCCCUCCUUCUCCAAAUUCACAUUUCCCCCAAAUUUGGGGAGGGGAAACCCUAAUCCCAUCUCUGCCUCUCUUCGUGGAAGCCGAGGGGUUUCCCCCCACCGCCGCCGUUCUCCUUUUCUUUUUCCAGCGACGCCGCCACUCGGUCGGAACCCGCUAUCGCCAUACCGUCACCGUCCGAUAGUACCCGUGAAGCCCGCCAUCGCGGCUGUUGCGGGGAUACUCCGCCUAUCGCCCGCGAGUUCUGCGUGGCCGGGUCUCGCCGUCCACUUGCAAACGGAAUUUGACAGCAGGGUCCGACGCCAAACCGUGAGGUCUCUGCCUCGGGCGCCGUCGAGCAAAGCUCGGCGUUUCGCUGAUGCCCGCCGCCUCCUAACGAUCAGCGCCGUCGUUGACGGUUUUGUGACUGCCUCCCCGGCCUCAGCUAAGCUUUCGCUCAUUCUCUCCCUUAGCUCCGUUAAAUCGGCAGAUUUGCUAUCCUUAUUUGGUUUUGUUGUAAUCUGGGUUUGAUUAUAGAAUUCUACUAAAAUCUAAGUUCAAGUUAUCUGUGAAUCUAGGAAGCCUUUUAUGGGAAUGCGAUCUUUUGAAUUGGGGUUCACACGUGUUCAUGCUUCAGGGAGCUUUUAUGUUUUAGUUGAUGAGGCUACUGUUCUUCCUCGUUAAUCUGAUGUGAUUACCGUGCCUGAGUUCUGACUAUGGUAUCCUAGCGUGCUUGUGUUUACUACUAAGUGUGAAAUGUCUACUACAUGAUGAUAUGAUAUUCAAAGUGAGCUAGAAACUGAGUGAGGUCACCUUCUCUGCACAAUAUUAUGCUGAACUCUACCUCUGGCCUCGACUCCCUUCACUCUCUAACUUGCUAGCUAACUGAGGGAAUAAUGUGGUGGUGUGAGUGAAUAGAACCGAAGGCAUGGGUAUUUGUAGGAUGGUUGUAACUGAAGGCUCUGUAAAGGCUGUUGAUUUGGCAGCUAAAAGGGUCCUCUGAUCACUCUUGGUUGGCUGUUUGCUCUGCAGAAACACAGGCAUGUACCUGCACAUUAAUUGGGUUUUACAACCUCUUUUGUUGUCAUAUUGCAGGGUAUCUCAGCCCUUGCUGGAAACCUCUGCGCUCGUGGUACAUUUCCUGCGGUAGGAUCCCUGUGGUUGCCACUGAAACCCUGCAGCUUGGGUGCUGCAGAUGUAGGUUUCCUCUGGCACGUGUCGGCUGGACAACCAACUGGGAGGGCAUGCCAUUUCUGGUGGUGGCAGCCUUCAUUCUUACCUGUUUUGAGAGAUAGGGCUGCUAGGUAUGGUUCUCACCUUGGUGUCCCAGUUCGUUGGGCCGCUUGAGCUGGGCUGAGACCGGGCCUGACAUGCAUCCUAUGACUCGAAUUGUAAUAGCGCAGUUCAACUUAAUUUUUUUUCUAUUUUCUUCCCACAUGUAUGCAAAUCUCUGUAAUAGUUAAGGCGUAUUUUGUUUCCUUUGUUUUCAUAGUCAAGCACUUGUAAAUUUAGACUUACCUUGGAAAUUCUAAAUAUCAUGUUUUGUUUACUCAAGAAUAUAAACAAAUGCUAUUUCUUCCUCUUUCUUUAAA